GUCAGACAAUUGAUUUCUUCUUCUCCUCUUAAAUAUUAGUUCAUAUUGUGUUACCUUCUUAUAUUAAAUUUUAACUUCAAGACAAGCUGGCUAAAAAGCAAAAAAGAACUGUAGGAUGAAACUUUCGGUCGAGUAUUUACGAUAUCUCAAAAAACGCUUCCGUAAUCGUACGAGAAGGGACUUCAGAGAUAAUGACAUGCAUCCCAAACCAAUGGAGGUCGAUAUGUUAGAAGAAACCAUGCUUUGGGAAGACGGCAUUGCACAAGCACCAAUGGCGUCUGUAAUUUUGGUGCAGACACUAUGGAGUGUUGAUUAAUUUCAAAAUGGAUGAACAGUUUUGAACAAGUAAAGAGCACAUCGAUGAACAUUGUCAUGAUGAAUUUUUUGUUGUAAAUAGAAAUAUACAACUUCGUAUAAGGUCUGCAAAAAUAUUAGAAAUAUUAAAAAUCGUCUAAAGAAGCAAAAAAAAUAAAACUUUAAUGCUUAUUGAA